GUAGGGUCCAAGCGUUAAUCGGGAAUUACUGGGGCGUAAAGCGUGCGCAGGCGGUUGUGCAAGACCGAUGUGAAAUCCCCGGGGCUUAACCUGGGAAUUGCAUUGGUGACUGCACGGCUAGAGUGUGUCAGAGGGGGGUAGAAUUCCACGUGUAGCAGUGAAAUGCGUAGAGAUGUGGAGGAAUACCGAUGGCGAAGGCAGCCCCCUGGGAUAACACUGACGCUCAUGCACGAAAGCGUGGGGAGCAAACAGGAUUAGAUACCCUGGUAGUCCACGCCCUAAACGAUGUCAACUAGUUGUUGGGGAUUCAUUUCCUUAGUAACGUAGCUAACGCGUGAAGUUGACCGCCUGGGGGUACGGUCGCAAAGAUUAA
rnacentral:rRNA from 1 species